CAUUAUGAUGAUAUCACAACUUUUAACAAUAAUUUUCACAGCCUUGAAAAAUUUGGAUUCUCAAGAUACAUAUAUAUAUGGGGCACAAAGCACUGAUAGACCAAUAUAAUUAAUAUUUUAUCAAAUACAACCUUUGAAAAUACAAAUUUCAAGAUAACCGUAGCCAUAUUCCUCCAAAUCUUCAUUACAAACAUACACAAGAUCAUUAGUUUAUCAUUCCAAACUAAAUUCAAAUAAAACAUUAGAAUUCAGAAUCUCAAAAAUAAACCAUAAUUCAACAUAACAAAUUUUAUCAUUAGGGAAAAGUAAUUGUUUUUUUUUUACCUUAGAUUCAUUUUUGGACUUGUUGGCAGUAGCUUCAGUAUUUCUUGCCAUAGGAAAAGCUGCUCCUUUAGAAGUAGAUAAAAAGGAAACAGAUUAAAAAAACCCAAAAAAUAAAACCUAUUUUGAAAAACACCAAACCUGAGAAACCAACAGACUAAAUUUCCAUGAAAAAGCACAAGAACAAUAAAGCUUCCAUCUUUGAUAGUAAUUUCAUCCCCCACUCAACACAAACUCUUCCUCUUCAACAAUCAACCUCUCUUAUAAACAUACAUUCAAUACUUCAAAGUAUUAAAAUUAUCUUUGAACUACUUGAAACUCUUAAAAUUAUCUCCUGCAUUUAAAUUAAAAGCAAUGUUAAACUCUGCUGUUAGAAAAUCUAAAGAACUCUCUAUUUUCUCUAUUAAUAAAUAGAAUUGUCUAAAAAUGAAGUAUCUCCGCAAUGAAAAACAAAAAUCAAUGGAAUAUGAAAAAGAAGCCUAUCUACAGUAAUCUAGAGUAACGUAUCUGCACAAGUGAAACACAAAUUGACUUAUAAUAAAUUUUCCCAGGUAAUGAAGCAUUCCGAGCAACUAAUUACAAUCUUAAGUGUCAAAACACACAAGUCUCCUAACGGGAAAUCUGAAAUAAAAUUGUGGACUUCAUUCUAAAAGAGAUGAAUCAGGCAUAUCAUCUUCUUGGGUGCAUAUUUAUUAUUAUUAUUCAUAAUCACACUAUGAAAAAAGGAAAGAACAGAGAUAUUGAAACUCAAGCUGGUAAAGCAAUCAUACCAGGCGUAUAUUAGCGGUAAUUAUCGAUCAGCCUGUCUUCCCUCUCUCCGUGUUUGUCUCCUAUUUCAGAAUUGCAUCUUUAGAUAGGUUAAGCUGCAGAAAAAAAAAUUAAGAGACCCAAUCUUCGAACGAAUAUUGAUACCACAAAAUUUUGAUAAAAAGAUCAAAAAAAACAAAGUAAAUGUACAAAUUAGGAACAAUUACUGACAUAUAUGUAAAAAUUCUAGCAAGAAUAAUGCAAAACAGCAAAAAACAAACAAAUUUCAUAAAAAAAAAAAUAGUAAAUGUGCAAAUCAGGAAUAUUUACUGAUAUGUAUGUAAAAAAAUCUAGCAACAAUUAUGCAAAACAACAGAAAUCUAACAUUUACCAACCAAAAUUUAGAUUAGCAGUAGAAGAAGUGCAAUAAACAAAUAAAAUUGCACAAACAACAAACUAAAUUAAAAGAGCUCACAACACAUUCAAAUAGAACAAAGAUGGAUAAACUAUCUACAUAUGUCAACAGGAGAAUUCACAAAGAGAAAUUGAGAAGUAAAGGGGAAAAUAAAGAGGUAUACAGGGGAAUAGACGAUGAGUUGAGUAGCAGUGAUACAAUGAAAAGGCUCUUCAGGUCAUAGCGCUUACUCAGCAAAUUUUACGCUGUGUGUAUAGUAUACAAAAGCCCAUGAAAAUAUUUCAGAACUCAAAAAGGCAAUGAAAAGACUUAAAGCCCCCUGUCUCGGCAUCUGAAAU
rnacentral:lncRNA from 1 species